rnacentral:piRNA from 1 species
UACAAGAAGAGGUUCAGUUUGAAAACACAA